AUUAUGACGGUUAAGUUCCAACAUAUAAAUUUUGGGGGAAUGCCAACAAUCAGGCCAUAGCAGAAGCUAUGGGUAAAAGCUUAAGGGAAAGUGAGAAAAAUCUUACCGGAAACUGGAGAAAAGGGGUUCCUUGUUAUGUGGUGACAGAAAGUCACCCUCAUUAACAUGAAAGGGAGAAAAUAUACCGAUGAACUGGGAGAUCUAACUAAGGAGACGUCAAAGCAGAUUUUGAAGGUGCUACCUGGUUUCUUUUUGCUGCUUACAGUAAAAUGUAAGAGAAGAGAAAAAUUAAAAGAAACACGGAUAAAUAAAAACAAGCCAGAACUUGCUGGUUUUAAAAAUUCCUUCUCCAUGCCAUGCAUGGUGGCUUACGCCUAUAAUCAUCAGCACUUUGGGAGGCCGAGGCAGGCAGAUCACCUGAGGUUGGGAGUUCGAGACCAGCCUGACCAACAUGGAGAAACCCCAUCUCCACUAAAAAAAAAAAAAAAAAAAAAAAAAAAAGUUAGCCAGGUGUGGUGGUGCAUGGCUGUAAUCCCAGCUACUUGAGAGGCUGAGGCAAGAGAAUCGCUUGAAUCUGGGAGGCGGAGAUUGCAGUAAGCCAAGAUCGUGCCAUUGCACUCCAGCCUGGGCAACAAGAGCAAAACUCCAUCUCAAAAAAAAAAAUCUUCUCCAGAUGGCACAUCAUACUAAAAUUAACAAUGGCUUCCAGGCAAAAAUAAAAUCUAGGGCUGUGUCAAGAAAGCAUCUAAAGAUGAAGCUAAGGGUACGACUAUAAAAUCUUAAGAUCUCAGAAAGGUCCAAGGUGUUGCUUCAGACAACCAUUCAGGUAAACAACAGAUCUCCUGAGAAGCCUAAAGAUAUUAUUCCUCAGCAGUCCCAGGAGAAGCCCAAGUUAAAGAAGAGCAUAUAUCAAAGAGACUUGUGGGUGUGGGCUUUUGUCUAGUAGAAUGAAUUCAAUAUGACUCACAGGAGACCAACAAAAUUUUUAAGAUAAUCGUAUUGGCAGAAACACUAUCAGCUUGGACUAAAAGGGAAUACAUCUUUCUAUGAAAAGAAGCUUUCAUACCAGCCCCUGCUCCAAACUUCCAUAGGCAGGGAACAGGCUGAGAAAUCUAUGCAGCUGCAAACAUGAGCUACAAUUCAUGUAAAAUAAUGACUUAGAGGGCAGAAUCAAGAGCCAUGAACUAUUCCCAGGACUUGAGUCUUAAUCAAGGAACUGGCAACAUUUGCCCAGGAGGAGUUCAGAAUACCAUAAACCAGUGGCUCCUAUUUUUUUUUCCAUUUUUGAACAGGACUGUAUAGCAGUUAUUCUAUACUUUCUAUUUUCUCAUUUUUUGAACAGAAGAGUCUAUAGUAGUCAUCCUAAAGCUGAAAGAUGUUACACUUAAGGAACUACUACAUACAAGAAGUCUCUCCUGGAUCAUAUUUAUAAUAGAUGCCAACAUCGUGGAUUUCCAGCUGAUGUUGUGACUUUGGAGAGGAUAUGGAUGGGGAGAGGUUACUUGCAGGGAAAGACAAUUCCCAUGUCAUGAAGACACUUCACCGGCCAAGUGGGAAGGCUCACAUCAUGAGCCUAAGGAAACUGAUGCUAAAAGCAUUAUGUUAAGGAUCAAGGAAAAGACAACUAGCAAGAGUGCUUUGUAAAUCAUAAUAUGCCAAAUACAAUCUUAGCUAUAGUUCUGCAAAAAUAGGAAUGAUAUUAAAUUGAGAGUCAUAACUUGGAGUUGCCCUGACACCAGAGUCUAGAGAACACCUAAAUGAACCAGAGAAGAGGGCAGAAAAGGCAUCCCUUGGGGAAGAAAGAAGAUCUGGUGUACUAAAGAACUCUGCUGUGGAAUAAAAUAAUAAGAAUUAGGGUUUACUUGAUAGCUUCUAACAAAGGGUGUCAAGAAGUGCAAAACACCAAAGAAUAUCCCAGCAGUUAAGGGCAUGGACAUCAUUCUGCCUGGUUUUGAAUUCUGGCUCUGCCAUGUGACCAUGUGGCAAGUUAUCUAACCUUUCUGUGACUCGGUGUUCUCACCUGUGAAAAUGGAAAUAAUAAUUGUACCCAUCAGCCAGGCGUGGCGGAUCACACCUGUAAUCCCAGCACUUUGGGAGGCCAAGGCUGGUGGAUCACCUGAGGUCAGGAGUUCAAGACCAGCCUGGCCAACAUGGUGAAACUCCAUCUCUACAAAAAAACAAACAAACAAAAAAUUAGCCGGGCUUGAUGCAGGGUGCCUGGGUGCCUGUAAUCCCAACUACUUGGGAGGCAGAGGUGGGAGAACUGCUUGAACCCAGGAGGUGGAGGUUGCAGUGAGCCGAGAUCCCGCCAUUGCACUCCAGCCUGGGUGACAGAGCGAGACUCCAUCACAAAAAAAAAAAAAAAAAAAGAAAAAAAAACACGCAUGUAUUCACAUACACAAAUCAGCAAAGAGCAGAGAGGGCGCCUUAUCUACUCUCUUCAUCGACAACAUAACUGCAACAAGAAUCCUGAAAAGCUUCCAGGACAAUGCAGAGAGUAAUGGGAAAAUGAGGUAGGCUACCUGAGAAAUUUAAGGGGUCUGUACAAAUAGUGAAUAAAGGAAAUCUAUCAUAGACAGGAAAAGACUAGUGGGCAGUAGAAUAAUAUUCCACACCAGGGUGGAGUUCUGUGGCAGAUAUCCUUCUUCCCUUCCUUGGAUAAAAGCAUUAUAAGACUUGGAGUGGGAGUUCUGACAGGAAGAAUAAAGUGAUUAUUAAAGGAGGUGGGGAGGUACUCUACAUAAAAUAUGCUUGGUUCUUAGCCCAGGGCUUUUCAAGAAACUGUCUGAAUUAUAAAAUAUAAAACAUAUGAGUACAUAUAACAUAUAUGUGUGGAGUUUAAAGAAAUGAAAGAAAGACCUGUGCAGCCACCACCAAGCUUAAGAGAACAAUGUCAGUAUCUCUGACAGCCCAUGUACUCUCUGGCUACUCCUUGUCCAUAUCACUCUCUUGUCCCAAAAGAAACCAUUGUCCCAAUUUUGUGUUCACCACUCCCUUAUUAUAACUAUUGUACAUACAGUAAACCCUAAAUGA